rnacentral:misc_RNA from 1 species
UUAGCUAUUGUGCGAUACACUCAGACGACAGGUUAUGACAGAGUUUGGGGGUCCUCUGGCGGGCCAGACAGGUCAUCACGGGGCGGGCUGCCUGAUCGCAGCGCCCUGCGCGACCCGACUGGGCGCCGCCAAAGCAACAGAGGUAUGUAGACAAGGGUGGGAGAUGUGCCCUGGGGGCACUUGUCUCUGUAAUGAUCCUUCCGCAGGUUCACCUACGGAAA